CCUACGGGAGGCUGCAGUGGGGAAUAUUGGACAAUGGGGGCAACCCUGAUCCAGCCAUGCCGCGUGUGUGAAGAAGGCCCUCGGGUUGUAAAGCACUUUCAGUGAGGAAGAACGCCUGGUGGUUAAUACCCAUCAGGAAAGACAUCACUCACAGAAGAAGCACCGGCUAACUCCGUGCCAGCAGCCGCGGUAAUACGGAGGGUGCGAGCGUUAAUCGGAAUUACUGGGCGUAAAGCGCGCGUAGGUGGCUUGAUAAGCCGGUUGUGAAAGCCCCGGGCUCAACCUGGGAACGGCAUCCGGAACUGUCAAGCUAGAGUGCAGGAGAGGAAGGUAGAAUUCCCGGUGUAGCGGGGAAAUGCGUAGAGAUCGGGAGGAAUACCAGUGGCGAAGGCGGCCUUCUGGACUGACACUGACACUGAGGUGCGAAAGCGUGGGUAGCAAACAGGAUUAGAUACCCCAGUAGUC
rnacentral:rRNA from 1 species